AGAAGCAUUUGCAGUGGUGGGUUCGUGACAAGCCCCAACAAGGUAUCGGACAAGAUGGAGGCUCUCAAGAACCUCAUUCCAGCUACCCAUAAUGGAGAGGGAUUGGUGCAAAGAGAAGGGCUGCCUGGCAUUUUGACAGCAGAAUUCAGUAUGUGUAGAGCUGUAUGGGGUCGGAAGCAUGGUGACAGUCAUUCACAUUUGCACUGCAAAGAAUGGGUGGGAGCAUUCUGAAUAUUUGGCAUAAUAUCUCGGCGAAAUGGCCAGCUUUGCCUGUGCCUCAUGGCGUGGCGCACACACUGGCACACUGUGAUUGUGAUGAUAGUGACAAGUUACUCAGCUGUCAUGGGAAACCCACGUGCAAAAGCCAAAUUUUAAGGGGCUUUUUGGCUUCUUUAAUUUUCCUUUAAAUUUCUUUUUUACCGGUGAGGGGCUUGGCUGUAUGGUAUGGAUGAGUGUAAGAUCAAUUAAUGAUAUAUGGUUGCUUAUGUAGAUAGAAAAUUAAUUAAAAAAAUAUUAGAAAGAGUUUGACCACCGA